GCCAGGACUAAUUUUUUACUGACAGUAGAUGUUGAGAUUAAAAAAAUUUCAACUUUAUAACCCUUUAAAAUAAAUUGUCAACAUCACAUUUCAAAAUAUACAAAGUCAAUAUCCCUAAAUCAAACUAUAAUACAUUCUCAAUCAGCAUUUUUCUUUCU